GAGGUUGUGGCUCAGCGGUAGAGUGCUUGCCUGGCACGUGAGACCUUGGGUUUGAUCCUCAGCACCACA
rnacentral:tRNA from 1 species